rfam:Populus trichocarpa scaffold_16_contig_111, whole genome shotgun sequence.
UAAUUUGUCCAGGAAAAAUCUUUAUCUAGUUAGGGCAGACUCACACAUGACUAUUCAAAAUCACUUGUUAUCGUAGACCCGACUACAUAAUUAUCCCCAGGUUUGAGAGAACUCAUUCUCAAGUUCUGUUU